rnacentral:rRNA from 1 species
GAUGAACGCUGGCGGCGUGCCUAAUACAUGCAAGUCGAGCGAACGGACGAGAAGCUUGCUUCUCUGAUGUUAGCGGCGGACGGGUGAGUAACACGUGGAUAACCUACCUAUAAGACUGGGAUAACUUCGGGAAACCGGAGCUAAUACCGGAUAAUAUUUUGAACCGCAUGGUUCAAAAGUGAAAGACGGUCUUGCUGUCACUUAUAGAUGGAUCCGCGCUGCAUUAGCUAGUUGGUAAGGUAACGGCUUACCAAGGCAACGAUGCAUAGCCGACCUGAGAGGGUGAUCGGCCACAUUGGAACUGAGCCACGGUCCAGGCGCCUACGGGAGGCAGCAGUAGGAAAUCUUCCGCAAUGGGCGAAAGCCUGACGGAGCAACGCCGCGUGAGUGAUGAAGGUCUUCGGAUCGUAAAACUCUGUUAUUAGGGAAGAACAUAUGUGUAAGUAACUGUGCACAUCUUGACGGUACCUAAUCAGAAAGCCACGGCUAACUACGUG